AACUACAAUGGUAAUGCUGCUGGAUAUCCCAAUGAUAUUUCUGUUAUGAGACUUUCAUCUAAUGCCAACACCGGAAGUUCAGCUGUAAGCACCAUUGGUUUGGCUCCUUCUGGAUCAAGUUUUAAUGGGCAGACAUGUACCAUCAGCGGCUGGGGUAGAACAUCCGGUUCUAGCAGUUUGCCCAACAUCUUACAAUAUACAGAGAUGGGCAAGAUUUCCAAUUCGGAUUGUUCUAGUAGAUGGUCUGGUAUCAGCGGGGCUACCAUUAACAGUGAGCAUAUCUGUGUCUAUCAAUCAGGAAGAUCAGCCUGCAAUGGAGAUAGUGGUGGACCUAUGAUAUGUAAUGGUAUGUUAGCUGGUGUUACAUCAUGGGGAAUUUCAGGUUGUGGUGGAAAUUAUCCCAGUGUUUAUACUCGAGUAUCCCAGUUUGUUAGUUGGAUUAAUUC